UACGUAGGCAGCAAGCGUUGUUCGGAGUUACUGGGCGUAAAGAGUGCGUAGGUGGUGCCCUAAGUCUGUUGUGAAAUCUCCCGGCUUAACUGGGAAGGUGCGGUGGAAACUGGGGUGCUUGAGUGUGGGAGGGGAGAGCGGAACUCCUAGUGUAGCGGUGAAAUGCGCAGAUAUUAGGAAGAACACCGGUGGCGAAGGCGGCUCUCUGGAACGGUACUGACGCUGAGACGCGAAAGCGUGGGGAGCAAACAGG
rnacentral:rRNA from 1 species